GAUCAUGGCUCAGGAUGAACGCUAGCUACAGGCUUAGCACAUGCAAGUCGAGGGGCAGCAUGGUCUUAGCUUGCUAAGGCCGAUGGCGACCGGCGCACGGGUGAGUAACACGUAUCCAACCUGCCGUCUACUCUUGGACAGCCUUCUGAAAGAAAGAUUAAUACCGGAUGGCAUAGGAUUAUCGCAUGAUAAUCCUAUUAAAGAAUUUCGGUUAUCGAUGGGG
rnacentral:rRNA from 1 species